rnacentral:misc_RNA from 1 species
GAUGAAGAACGUAGCGAAAUGCGAUAAGUAAUGCGAAUUGCAGAAUUCCAGUGAGUCAUCGAAUCUUUGAACGCACAUUGCGCCCUUUGGUAUUCCGAAGGGCAUGCCUGUUCGAGCGUCAUUAUCACCCCUCAAGCCCUCGGCUUGGUGUUGGACGGUUUGGUGGAGGCCCCCUCGGGGGUUCCUGCCCCUCCCAAAGACAAUGACGGCGGCCUCGUUGGACCCCUGGUACACUGAGUUCUUCACGGGACACGUAUCGGACACAUGGGUUUACGGGACACGGUCUGCCUCCCCUCAGGGAGAAUCUUUCUAAGGUUGACCUCGGAUCAGGUAGGGAUACCCGCUGAACUUAAGCAUAUCAAUAAGCGGAGGA